rnacentral:ncRNA from 1 species
AAAACGACGUUGCCCAGAAGAGUAAUGGUGGAUCAACUGUUUAGCGAGUCCGGGAAUGAUGGAAGCCGGGUCAGCAAUCGCCAUGAAGCGCAUCUGGAAGUCGUACGGGUGAAAUGAGUAGUCCGUACUGGGUCGUGCCCAUUAACGCACGCGGUGUUCUCAUGAAUACCAUAAGAGAUAAAUCAAGGUGGUACCGCGAAUCGUUCGCCCUUGUU